GCAUAACACUUGUCAGCCAGCUGAGAUUUAAGGAUGCCAGCAGGUGUAUCUUGGCCAAGAUAUCUAAGGAUGUUUGCAGCCAGUGUGUUCUCAAUGUUUGCUGGAGCACAGGUUGUGCAUCAGUAUUACCGUCCUGAUUUAACCAUUCCAGAUGUCCCACCAAAGCCUGGAGAACUGCAAACAGAACUUCUUGGCUUGAAAGAAAGAGAGACAGACUCUGUGUCUGAGAAACAAUGACCCAUUGAUUUGUUUUUCAUAGCUGUUUAUAUAAAACAUCAAAUCUUUUUUUCAAAGCCUAAGUGAAAUAAUGCUAAAGUUAUUUUAUUCUGUGAAUAAAGUUAUUUAUACGUGUACUGUC